UAUAUUUAAGUGUUAUGAGCACUAAAGAUUUUGAUUCUUUAAGAUUUAGUUAAUAAACUAUAAGGUAUAA
rnacentral:tRNA from 1 species